rnacentral:lncRNA from 1 species
CUGAGCUCUACUUCAAACUUGGUGUCGCACUUUUCAAAACCACGUUGGUCUUCACCUGCUAAAAUAUACACUGUUUGGCACAGAGUGUUCAUAUCUCCUGUGCUUAUCCUGGAGCCUAUCAUGGACUAAUUGCUCAAGUAAUCAUUGAUGCAUGUGGAUGACUGAAUGAAAGACUGAAGAAACAUUUCAACAUGGCAGCAUCCUAGACUUGGAAAAGAAUGAGUAGUCCUGGAGGCUGGCCUUCUGGUGGCUAAAGUGUUUCUCCAUGUUCUACAGCCCAUGGGGUCAGGAGGGGCUUAAGGGCUGUGAAGGAAACACCUGAAAUUCCAUAAUAGCUAGUGCCUUUCAGCUGUAAAGACUGUAAUGAGGACACCUGUAUGUCACCUGGUUGAACCACACUCAGAAAAUUCCAGGUAGAAGAAGAAAAGAAAGAAGUAAACAUAUAAUGACUUUUGGCCACUUGAAUAUGAUAAAACGUAUUUUUAUCUGUGAGGACAAGAAGCUCAGAGAAGUUAGGCAACUUGCCAAACAUUCCAUGGCUUGAAAAUUACACAGUUAGGAUAUGCACAGAGGUUUGGGAGACUCAGAAGACUAACUUGUCUUCCAGAAAGCCAAUGGCAUCAUGGGCAAGGAGAAGCUCUUCACAGGUG